AAGAGAUUCCUGAGAUUUUUCAACCAUUAUUGCAUAAUAGAGCAAAAGAUUGUUAACCUGUUAACUGGUACUCCGUACACACUCAAACAGACUUUCAGAGUUCGGUAAUGCAAAUUACCGAAACAGACCGGUAAUUUAAAAAAUUACAGUUGUAUCGGUAAUAACCUGCUAGAUCACCGUAAUUUGUAAAUCAAUCUACGGUAUAUCGGUGAUCUCAUCCCAUUUUAACGAGUACGGUAAUUUUAUUCACCGAAAAUAUCAGUAAAACAGAUCAAAUACCGAGUUCGGUAAAAUAUUACUGAACCUUCAGUAAAUUUGAGCUGUCAACUCCAACUUCUACAUGUUUUCGACAGAAAUUCUCAAGUACGCAGUGCAAUGCAAUCCUCCUGCAAAGCGCAACGAAAGCGAGUCACAAAAUUAGUGGAUGCAUUCAUCAAAACCCACCAGAAACUGUUGAUUCAAACGUUUUUUUUUCCUGCUCCUGUUUCGAACGCCAUGGAGAUCGGUUUCGAAGUUCUACCUAUGAGGAAUGCCAAAACCGUGCGGUGCUUCGAAAAUACUACUGCAUCAAAUUAAUAUAUGAAUAAAAGAUUAUUUGAUUUACAUUUGAAUCGCA